rnacentral:rRNA from 1 species
GACGAACGCUGGCGGCGUGCCUAAUACAUGCAAGUCGAGCGAAUCACUGGGAGCUUGCUCCUGGUGGUUAGCGGCGGACGGGUGAGUAACACGUGGGCAACCUGCCUGUAAGACUGGGAUAACACCGGGAAACCGGUGCUAAUACCGGAUAAUCCUUUCUCUCUCAUGAGGGAAAGCUGAAAGUCGGUUUCGGCUGACACUUACAGAUGGGCCCGCGGCGCAUUAGCUAGUUGGUGAGGUAACGGCUCACCAAGGCGACGAUGCGUAGCCGACCUGAGAGGGUGAUCGGCCACACUGGGACUGAGAAACGGCCCAGACUCCUACGGGAGGCAGCAGUAGGGAAUCUUCCACAAUGGACGAAAGUCUGAUGGAGCAACGCCGCGUGAGCGAUGAAGGCCUUCGGGUCGUAAAGCUCUGUUGUUAGGGAAGAACAAGUACCGGAGUAACUGCCGGUACCUUGACGGUACCUAACCAGAAAGCCACGGCUAACUACGUGCCAGCCGCCGCGGUAACAC